GGCACUGUGGUGUAGUGGGUAGCACUGUGGCCUUCCAGUUAGAAGGUUGUUGGUUCGAGACUCGCCGGUGACC